UCAAAUAUAAUAAUAUCUGAACAAAAAAGAAACUUUCAAUAUUUUGUGUUAUUUGAAACUUUUCUUAGUUUUUUCGAAUAGUUUCGAAUAGUUUGUGUACAAACUCGGUUUUCAACAUUAUUGAUUAUUUCAACGUGAGCGCAAUCGUGCAGUUGUCAUAAAAAGAGUAGAAACUCUGUGAGUUAGCAAAAUCAAGAGAGCGGCGAAGUAAAUCGAGAUCCAAGAGAAUCUUGCAAA